GAUGAACGCUGGCGGCGUGCCUAAUACAUGCAAGUCGAGCGGAUGGAUUAAGAGCUUGCUCUUAUGAAGUUAGCGGCGGACGGGUGAGUAACACGUGGGUAACCUGCCCAUAAGACUGGGAUAACUCCGGGAAACCGGGGCUAACACCGGAUAACAUUUUGAACCGCAUGGUUCGAAAUUGAAAUGCGGCUUCGGCUGUCACUUAUGGAUGGACACGCGUCGCAUUAGCUAGUUGGUGAGGUAACGGCUCACCAAGGCAACGAUGCGUAGCCGACCUGAGAGGGUGAUCGGCCACACUGGGACUGAGACACGGCCCAGACUCCUACGGGAGGCAGCAGUAGGGAAUCUUCCGCAAUGGACGAAAGUCUGACGGAGCAACGCCGCGUGAGUGAUGAAGGCUUUCGGGUCGUAAAACUCUGUUGUUAGGGAAGAACAAGUGCUAGUUGAAUAAGCUGGCACCUUGACGGUACCUAACCAGAAAGCCACGGCUAACUACGUGCCAGCCGCCGCUGUAA
rnacentral:rRNA from 1 species